rnacentral:lncRNA from 1 species
AGUAAAUAUAGCCAUAGGCAACAGUAUAAGCAUUGACUGUGCUGAUAUUGUGGAUUGGAAGUUUUCCCAAUCCAUAGUCUAACAUGCUAAUGCUACUUUGUAGAAAUCCAAUUCUUUUCGCAUUUACUUUGAAAUCCGUUUCUUAUAUCUCAUCAGAAAGUGUUCUUCUGUUUGCGUUUGGACCAGCUGGAGAAUGGCAGUCAUCCAGAUAUGCUGGAAGUGAACUGACCACAGGGGUGAAGGAAACAGAAGAUAGAUUGAGGCUUGAGACUUGGAAAUCCAUUUCAAAUGUGUCUGCAAAAGAGGGCUUGUAAGUAAAUUGUAUUGGGAAUCUCGAGACACCUCAUGAAACGUCGGAGUUGUUUCUUUUGUUAGUUCAGUUGUAAAAUGAAAUCUGAUUGUUGCUAUUGGUUGUAGUGCCAUCAAUGGUAUAAAUAGGUCUUUGGGGCUGCUCAUUUCAGAGGUGUGGUUAACACUCUCCAGAGAGCAGCCUACCUUGGGAACUGUUCAGUGAAUCACCAGGGAUGAGAAAGACUUUAGUGACAAGAGUUAACUGCAUAUUUGUCAGAACCUUAAAAGGUAGCUGUAACAUCAUUUCCACUUAACAGUUUCAGUUCUUCUCUCAGUGGCUCUAACUUGGCCUUUGUAUUAUCAUCCUUGUCUUUAUUUCAUGUUAUUUUACUACAGCUAUGUAGACAUUGUUGCAGGAGG